rnacentral:tRNA from 1 species
AAGGGAGACCUAAUUCAGGUAUGGGACGAAAAAAAAGUAGUCGCUACCAAGAAUCAAUCCCAAAAGGUCGGAGCGAGGUAUGAGGCUUUCAAACUAGGUUCUGGGUUCAAACAAGACCUGAAUCAGGAACAAGGGCUAUUAGCUCAGGUGGUUAGAGCGCACCCCUGAUAAGGGUGAGGUCCCUGGUUCGAGUCCAGGAUGGCCCGCCUGCACAGGUGGCAAAAACAAGAGAAGCUCCGAAUCAGCACCUUAUCUUAUCUAUAUAUAAGAGAGAAUGCUGGCUCUGAGUACAGAGUCCAGAGGAACCUUGAAAACUGCAUAGAGCUAGGUGAAAAAGCCAAAAAAGAAGACCGCAA